GUUUGCCAGCUCUGCCAUCAUCUGCCUUUGCCUGAAGGUACCAAGAUGACUCUGCAAGGUGCCACCAGCAAUGACAAAGUCAGAGGCUCAGAAACCCGCAGGGAGAGCUGAACAUUUGGGUUGAGCCUCCAAGCCUUGUCUUUCUGGAUAUUGAGGGUCUACAUGCCAACCAGAUUCAGAGGGUCAAACAAUUCCCUGAAGUCUCCUCUGCCAGCGUGAUCUCAAAUGAGGAGGAAAGACCAC